AUUGAACGCUGGCGGCAGGCCUAACACAUGCAAGUCGAACGAGUGGCGGACGGGUGAGUAAUGUCUGGGAAACUGCCCGAUGGAGGGGGAUAACUACUGGAAACGGUAGCUAAUACCGCAUACCAUCGGAUGUGCCCAGAUGGGAUUAGCUAGUAGGUGGGGUAACGGCUCACCUAGGCGACGACCCCUAGCUGGUCUGAGAGGAUGACCGCCCAAACGGGAACUGAGACACGGUCCAGACUCCUCCGGGGGGCAGCAGUGGGGAUUAUUGCACAAUGGGCGCAAGCGUGAUGCAGCCAUGCCGCUUGUAUGAGGAAGCCCUUCGGUUUGUAAAGUACUUUCAGCGAGGAGGCGUUACUCGCAGAAGAAGCACCGGCUAACUCCUUGCCAGCGGCCGCGUAAUAC
rnacentral:rRNA from 1 species